AUUAGAGUUAAGGGUUGGGAAGAACUUAAACACCAUCUCUAAAAGAAGCUACAGUCUCCCACCGAGCCCUAAAACGCCGACUCCCCUCUUCUCGGGUCAUUUCCUCCCGAUCUCGUCGACGGACGCAGCUCCGAUUCACGGCCGCGCCGGAACGCCGGCGCUGUGUAGCAGGGCGAGUCUCCGACUUCCUCGACAGAUCGGAGGAGGUCUCACCGACGGUGUCUUUCCUCGAAACCGCCUCUUCGCCCAGGGGAUUUCCGGUUGGGUGAUGAGAUUUGGGUCCUGUGGACACGGGGGGUGAUAUCGCCUGUUCCAAAGCGAUGCUGGACGGGGAUUUGCAUUUCAAGGAGCUGACUCGUUUUCCCGAGCUUAGGGCCAGGAUGAUCUCGUCAGAUUCUCUUCGUCGAUGGUAGAAGCUUCAAGCAUCAAGGUAUUGAGUGGCUUGCUGUGAAGGGCUAGAUCACAAUUCCAGUGGCUGUUCUUCAUUUGGGAACCAUUAGCUCUGUGAGAGGUCGGAUCUGUGAAUAAGCAACAUUGGGCAGCAUCAGUGUGCUAGUGUCGGCGAGUCCAUCUUCUGGCAGCGAGUCAACAGUGGGGAGUUAGGUAAGGACAUUGAUCAGGACGAGCGUCGUGACGAGAUUGGCGUUGGAUUCAGCCUACACUUAGA